GAGACAGUGUCAGGUGGGCAGUUUGACUGGGGCGGUCGCCUCCUAAAAGGUAACGGAGGCGCCCAAAGGUUCCCUCAGAAUGGUUGGAAAUCAUUCGCAGAGUGUAAAGGCACAAGGGAGCUUGACGGCGAGACCUACAAGUCGAGCAGGGACGAAAGUCGGGCUUAGUGAUCCGGUGGUUCCGCAUGGAAGGGCCAUCGCUCAACGGAUAAAAGCUACCCCGGGGAUAACAGGCUUAUCUCCCCCAAGAGUCCACAUCGACGGGGAGGUUUGGCACCUCGAUGUCGGCUCAUCGCAUCCUGGGGCUGUAGUC
rnacentral:rRNA from 1 species